rnacentral:piRNA from 1 species
UAGAAACAACAGGAUUUGGCUUUAAGAUU